AGAGUUUGAUCCUGGCUCAGGACGAACGCUGGCGGCGUGCCUAACACAUGCAAGUCGAACGGAGAAUUUCGAAGAGUUUACUUGGAGAAAUUUUUAGUGGCGGACGGGUGAGUAACGCGUGGGUAACCUACCCAUAAACCCGGGACAACCCUUGGAAACGAGGGCUAAUACCGGAUAAUCUUUUAGUUUGGCAUCAAAGUAAAAGAAAAGGUGGCCUCUGAAAAUGCUACCGAUUAUGGAUGGACCCGCGUCUGAUUAGCUAGUUGGUGGGGUAAAGGCCUACCAAGGCGACGAUCAGUAGCCGGCCUGAGAGGGUGAACGGCCACACUGGGACUGAGACACGGCCCAGACUCCUACGGGAGGCAGCAGUGGGGAAUCUUCCGCAAUGGACGAAAGUCUGACGGAGCAACCCCGCGUGUAUGAUGAAGGUCUUCGGAUU
rnacentral:rRNA from 1 species